rnacentral:other from 1 species
AAUUCCCUGCCGUGCUCGUGAUGCGGCACAAGUUCUUGAACCAACGUUGGGAAGUGAAGGGCAUCCCGGUGGCCGGCGACGCCACGCCCGCCGCCCGCGAGGGCGGUGGGAUCGCCGACCCGGUCGAAGGGGCGCCCACCUGGUUCGCCAGGUCUCAAGAACUUCCACGCACACGGCACCGCGGGGAUCCU